rnacentral:rRNA from 1 species
GACGAACGCUGGCGGCGUGCUUAACACAUGCAAGUCGAACGGAAAGGCCCCUUUGGGGGUACUCGAGUGGCGAACGGGUGAGUAACACGUGAGUAACCUGCCCUUGACUUCGGGAUAACUUCAGGAAACUGGGGCUAAUACCGGAUAGGAAUCCUUGCUGCAUGGUGGGGGUUGGAAAGCUUCGGCGGUUUUGGAUGGACUCGCGGCUUAUCAGCUUGUUGGUGGGGUAGUGGCUUACCAAGGCUUUGACGGGUAGCCGGCCUGAGAGGGCGACCGGCCACAUUGGGACUGAGAUACGGCCCAGACUCCUACGUGAGGCAGCAGUGGGGAAUAUUGCACAAUGGGCGGAAGCCUGAUGCAGCAACGCCGCGUGCGGGAUGACGGCCUUCGGGUUGUAAACCGCUUUCAGCAGGGGCGAAGCUUGUGGUGACGGUACCUGCAGAAGAAGCACCGGCUAACUACGUG